rnacentral:rRNA from 1 species
UACGUAGGGUGCGAGCGUUAAUCGGAAUUACUGGGCGUAAAGGGUGCGCAGGUGGUUACGUAAGUCUGAUGUGAAAGCCCCGGGCUCAACCUGGGAACUGCAUUGGAGACUGCGUGGCUAGAGUGUGGCAGAGGGGGGUGGAAUUCCGCGUGUAGCAGUGAAACGCGUAGAGAUGCGGAGGAACACCAAUGGCGAAGGCAGCCCCCUGGGUUAACACUGACACUCAUGCACGAAAGCGUGGGGAGCAAACAGG